GGGCCCGCACAAGCGGUGGAGCAUGUGGUUUAAUUCGAUGAUACGCGAGGAACCUUACCAGGGCUUAAAUGUAAGUUGCAUUAGUUAGAGAUAGCUAUUUCUUCGGACCACUUACAAGGUGCUGCAUGGUUGUCGUCAGCUCGUGCCGUGAGGUGUCAGGUUAAGUCCUAUAACGAGCGCAACCCCUGUUGUUAGUUGCCAGCGAGUCAUGUCGGGAACUCUAACAAGACUGCCGGUGCAAACCGUGAGGAAGGUGGGGAUGACGUCAAAUCAUCACGGCCCUUACGUCCUGGGCUACACACGUGCUACAAUGGUCGGUACAGAGAGCAGCCACUACGCGAGUAGGAGCGAAUCUUCAAAGCCGAUCUCAGUUCGGAUUGGAGUCUGCAACUCGACUCUAUGAAGCUGGAAUCGCUAGUAA
rnacentral:rRNA from 1 species